rnacentral:misc_RNA from 1 species
CCUCCUUAUACGAUUUAGAACUUAUUUGUUCGUAGUGUCCACACAGAUGAUUGUUAGUUAGUUUCACCUUUGGGUUUAACUGUUUAAUAUGCUCUUUAAAAAUUUGGAAAGGCUGAUAAUAAAAUUCGUAUGAAUGACAUUUGUUAUUUGUACAGAGUUUUCAAAAGUAAAAAAGAAUGAUAGCAGUAUCAUUCAGUGCCAUUUAAUAAACGUUUACGUUUGUUGAUUGGUAUCUACUUUAGUAUUCAAUAUUAACUUCUGGCGAAGUUAAACUGUCACAAAACAAAGACCCGUUUUGGGUUGUAUGGUUAAGUGACUAAGCGUACACGGUGGAUGC